UACGGAGGGUGCGAGCGUUGUCCGGAAUCAUUGGGCGUAAAGGGCGCGUAGGUGGCGGGACAAGCGUGCGGUGAAAGCCUGGGGCUCAACCCCGGGUCGGCCGUGCGAACUGUUUUGCUUGAGCACUGUAGAGGCAGGCGGAAUUCCGGGUGUAGCGGUGGAAUGCGUAGAGAUCCGGAAGAACACCGGUGGCGAAGGCGGCCUGCUGGGCAGUAGCUGACACUGAGGCGCGACAGCGUGGGGAGCAAACAGGAUUAGAAACCCCGUGA
rnacentral:rRNA from 1 species